CAACGUUAAUCGGGGCAGGGUGAGUCGACCCCUAAGGCGAGGCCGAAAGGCGUAGUCGAUGGGAAACGGGUUAAUAUUCCCGUACUUGGUGUUACUGCGAAGGGGGGACGGAGAAGGCUAUGUUGGCCGGGCGACGGUUGUCCCGGUUUAAGCGUGUAGGCUGGUUUUCCAGGCAAAUCCGGAAAAUCAAGGCUGAGGCGUGACGACGAGGCACUACGGUGCUGAAGCAACAAAUGCCCUGCUUCCAGGAAAAGCCUCUAAGCAUCAGGUAACACGAAAUCGUACCCCAAACCGACACAGGUGGUCAGGUAGAGAAUACCAAGGCGCUUGAGAGAACUCGGGUGAAGGAACUAGGCAAAAUGGUGCCGUAACUUCGGGAGAAGGCACGCUGACAUGUAGGUGAAGUGAUUUACUCAUGGAGCUGAAGUCAGUCGAAGAUACCAGCUGGCUGCAACUGUUUAUUAAAAACACAGCACUGUGCAAACACGAAAGUGGACGUAUACGGUGUGACGCCUGCCCGGUGCCGGAAGGUUAAUUGAUGGGGUCAGCGCAAGCGAAGCUCCUGAUCGAAGCCCCGGUAAACGGCGGCCGUAACUAUAACGGUCCUAAGGUAGCGAAAUUCCUUGUCGGGUAAGUUCCGACCUGCACGAAUGGCGUAAUGAUGGCCAGGCUGUCUCCACCCGAGACUCAGUGAAAUUGAACUCGCUGUGAAGAUGCAGUGUACCCGCGGCAAGACGGAAAGACCCCGUGAACCUUUACUAUAGCUUGACACUGAACAUUGAGCCUUGAUGUGUAGGAUAGGUGGGAGGCUUUGAAGUGUGGACGCCAGUCUGCAUGGAGCCGACCUUGAAAUACCACCCUUUAAUGUUUGAUGUUCUAACGUGGACCCGUGAUCCGGGUUGCGGACAGUGUCUGGUGGGUAGUUUGACUGGGGCGGUCUCCUCCUAAAGAGUAACGGAGGAGCACGAAGGUUGGCUAAUCCUGGUCGGACAUCAGGAGGUUAGUGCAAUGGCAUAAGCCAGCUUGACUGCGAGCGUGACGGCGCGAGCAGGUGCGAAAGCAGGUCAUAGUGAUCCGGUGGUUCUGAAUGGAAGGGCCAUCGCUCAACGGAUAAAAGGUACUCCGGGGAUAACAGGCUGAUACCGCCCAAGAGUUCAUAUCGACGGCGGUGUUUGGCACCUCGAUGUCGGCUCAUCACAUCCUGGGGCUGAAGUAGGUCCCAAGGGUAUGGCUGUUCGCCAUUUAAAGUGGUACGCGAGCUGGGUUUAGAACGUCGUGAGACAGUUCGGUCCCUAUCUGCCGUGGGCGCUGGAGAACUGAGGGGGGCUGCUCCUAGUACGAGAGGACCGGAGUGGACGCAUCACUGGUGUUCGGGUUGUCAUGCCAAUGGCACUGCCCGGUAGCUAAAUGCGGAAGAGAUAAGUGCUGAAAGCAUCUAAGCACGAAACUUGCCCCGA
rnacentral:rRNA from 2 species